rfam:Oryza punctata chromosome 8, whole genome shotgun sequence.
UUUAAAAGCAGUGAUAAGUUUUUAUGUCUAAUUUUGAUCAUCCAUCUUAUUAAAAAAUUUUUUAUGAUUAGUAUUAUUAUUAUUAUUAGAUGAUAAAAUAUAAAUAUUAUUUUAUACGUGACUUAUGUUUUUUAUUUUUUAAAAUAAAACGAAUAAUUAAAAUUGGAUACGAAAACUCAUGACUACGUUUAAA